rnacentral:lncRNA from 1 species
UUUUAUUGUAUUGUUAUUUCAUAGUUAUUUUAUUUAUAUAUUGCUAAUAAUUAAUUUUAUUUCAUAUACAAGGUUAAUAAUCAAAUCCUUACAGAUUUUCAUAAAAGAAUAAUUAUUUAUUUUUAUUUUUUUAUUCAAAUGGUCCCAUUUAUAUAUACUUGUUUUUUAUUGUUUUUUAUUUCCUUAACUUUGUUAAUCCCUCUUAUUACAAACUUCGGUUCCUUCACAGUAUACACCAGCAGGAGGACUGAAAGCUUCACUUUAUGGUUUAGGCACAGAGGUACUUUAUUGGCAUUCUGUUUCCGCACAGAGGUCAUUACUGACGGCUUCUGGCUGUUUCCGAGGGAUUAUGACCUUUGGUAAUGCCCUUCAUUACUGUAGUAAUGGAGAAACACUCACGGUCUUUUUGGAAGCUUCACGACCAACUUCCUGUAGCACGUUGCAGCGGUGCACAUAGCAACAUAUUCUUGGCAGGCCUCAUUGUUGGAAGAAUAUUAGUGUCCUAAGGUUACAGCCCAUGAGCAUUGGGAGCCUCCAACAUAUUUCUUCAUUCAGCAGCAGACGCAAUCCGGGGUGUGCAGCGAGAAAAGUCCAGCAACUUGGAUAAAAUCAUGCAGCAAUCCAGUGAGGUGCAGGUGGUAAUUGAAAAUUGGAGAAAGCAGGCCUUCA